rnacentral:lncRNA from 1 species
GGGGGUCUACUCUAAUUCACCGAAAAACGAAGUUUCGUACGAAAUUUCGCGAACUUCUUACCACGGUUCCAUUUCGUUCCGAAAUUUCGUACGAACGAAGAUUGUUUGACGUUUAUUGUCUAUAAACCUACUCUAAUUCGAAAUGCUACGAACGAAUAUUUGAGUUUGACAGACGAAACUUCGGAAUUUUAACCUCAAAUUCAACGAAACCAAAAGAGUUAUCGUUUGAUUUUCGUGUUACUUUUCGUUUUGUGAAUUUUGUGUGAAAAUUAUUGGCAAAGGCUACAAUAAUGCUUUUAAUCAAAGCAGCUUUACGUGAAGAUCAUGUAGAGCGAAGAAGGAACCGGCAGUGCUUGCGCAAUCAAUUAAAUAUUAGCGAAAUUCCCGACGUAGAGUUUGUAGGAAAUCACAGACUCAGUCGGCAAUUUUUCGAAGGGUUGUGCCAGGAAUUCGUGCCUUUAUUACCUCCAAACAAUGCAAAUUGCAAUUGCUAGACCUUCUGGAAUCGAAAAUAUUUCCAUUCUCUUAACACCCAAGUUAUAUUAUGUGACAGCGAUACUACAUAUAUAACAAAUGUGGAUGUGUCAUUUGGUGGAGCAACACACAUGAUGCUUAUAUUUGGAGAGAGUGUGAUAUUAGAAGCCACUUGGAGGGUCUCCAGAAUGAAACAGUUUAUCUGUUAGGUGACUCUGGGUAUUCUCUCUAAGGGAGCAUAUGAUGACACCGAUAGAUAAAGCUGUUGAAGAUUCUCUUGAAGGCAGAUACAACUUUGCAGAGCUUUGUUAGUGCAAAUUUUGGAAAGGAAUAGGUAGGACAAAGUUCUACUCAAGCACAUCAUAACAUGCUCCAGAAAAACUGUAUGUUUAUUGAUUUUAAGAAUUUGACAUGAUGUUAUUUAUUUCCUUUAGAGUUUAAUAAAAGAAUAAAUUAUA